rnacentral:rRNA from 1 species
ACGAACGCUGGCGGCGUGCUUAACACAUGCACGUCGAACGGAAAGGCCCUGCUUUUGUGGGGUGCUCGAGUGGCGAACGGGUGAGUAACACGUGAGUAACCUGCGCUUGACUUUGGGAUAACUUCAGGAAACUGGGGCUAAUACCGGAUAGGAGCUCCUGCUGCAUGGUGGGUGUUGGAAAGUUUCGGCGGUUGGGGAUGGACUCGCGGCUUAUCAGCUUGUUGGUGGGGUAGUGGCUUACCAAGGCUUUGACGGGUAGCCGGCCUGAGAGGGUGACCGGCCACAUUGGGACUGAGAUACGGCCCAGACGGCUACGGGAGGCAGGAGUGGGGAAUAUUGCACAAUGGGCGGAAGCCUGAUGGAGCAACGCCGCGUGCGGGAUGACGGCCUUCGGGUUGUAAACCGCUUUCGCCUGUGACGAAGCGUGAGUGACGGUAAUGGGUAAAGAAGCACCGGCGAACUACGU